CCCUUAGAUGUUCUGGGCCGCACGCGUGCUACACUGAGUGGAUCAGCGGGUCAGGUUGCGCGAAAGCGUUUCCUAAUCUUUAAAUCCGCUCGUGAUGGGGAUUGACGGUUGCAAUUUUCUGUCAUGAACGAGGAAUACCUUGUAAGCGCGGGUCAUCAUCCCGCGCUGAAUACGUCCCUGCCCUUUGUACACACCGCCUGUCGCUCCUACCGAUUGAGUGGUCCGGUGAGGCUUUGGGAUCUGAGCGGAAAGAGCGUUUCGCUGUUUCUGCUCGGAAAACUCAGUCGAACCUUAUCAUUUAGAGGAAGGAGAAGUCGUAACA
rnacentral:rRNA from 1 species